rnacentral:tRNA from 1 species
GGGUAGAUGGCCGAGUGGCUAAAGGCGGCAGACUGUAAAUCUGCUCUCUUCGGAGUACGGAGGUUCGAAUCCUUCUCUGCCCA